UACGUAGGGUGCGAGCGUUAAUCGGAAUUACUGGGCGUAAAGCGUGCGCAGGCGGUUUUGUAAGACAGGCGUGAAAUCCCCGAGCUCAACUUUGGGAAUUGCGCUUGUGACUGCAAGGGCUAGAGUGUGUCAGAGGGGGGGUAGAAUUCCACGUGUAGCAGUGAAAUGCGUAGAGAUGUGGAGGAAUACCGAUGGCGAAGGCAGCCCCCCUGGGACAUGGACUGACGCUCAUGCACGAAAGCGUGGGGAGCAAACAGG
rnacentral:rRNA from 1 species